GCCAGUGUGGUGUAGUGGUUUGAGCAUUGGACUAUGAAUCUAGAGACCAUGGUUCGAAUCCCUGCUCGGCCA